rnacentral:rRNA from 1 species
AUUGAACGCUGGCGGCAGGCUUAACACAUGCAAGUCGAGCGAGCGGCGGACGGGUGAGUAAUGUCUGGGAAACUGCCUGAUGGCGGGGGAUAACUACUGGAAACGGUAGCUAAUACCGCAUACCAUCUGAUGUGCCCAGAUGGGAUUAGCUAGUCGGUGGGGUAAUGGCUCACCUAGGCGACGAUCCCUAGCUGGUCUGCGAGGAUGACCAGCCACACUGGGACUGAGCCACGGUCCACACUCCUACGGGAGGCAGCAGGGGGGAAUAUUGCACAAUGGGCUCAAGCCUGAUGCAGCCAGGCCGCGUGUGCGAAGAAGGCCUUCGGGUUGUAAAGCACUUUCAGCGAGGAGGCGUUACUCGCAGAAGAAGCACCGGCUAACCCCGUGCCAGCAGCCGCGGUAAUAC